rnacentral:rRNA from 1 species
GACGAACGCUGGCGGCGUGCUUAACACAUGCAAGUCGAACGGAAAGGCCUCAAUCGGGGGGUACUAGAGUUGCGAACGGGUGAGUAACACGUGAGUAACCUGCCCUUGACUUUGGGAUAACUUCAGGAAACUGGGGCCAAUACCGGAUACGAGCUCCUGCUGAAUGGUGGGAGUUGGAGAGUUUCGGCGGUUGGGGGUGGAAUGGCGGCGUAGCAGCUUGUUCGGGCGGUAGUGGCUUACCAACGCGUUGACGGGUAGCCGUACUGAGAGAGUGAGCGGCAGCAUUGGAACUGAGAUGCGGCACAAAUGCGGACGGUAGGCCGCUGGGGGGAAGCUUGCACAAGCGAUGGAGGCUGGAUGCAGCAGCGCUUCGUGUGGGAUGGCGCCUUUCGUGUUGUAGACCGCUAUCGGUCAAAACGAAGCUUUGUCUGACGGUAGCAGGUAAAGAAGCACCGGCUAACUCCGUG